rnacentral:rRNA from 2 species
CUUAGCGCGGUGGUCCCACCUGACCCCAUGCCGAACUCAGAAGUGAAACGCCGUAGCGCCGAUGGUAGUGUGGGGUCUCCCCAUGCGAGAGUAGGGAACUGCCA